rnacentral:rRNA from 1 species
CUACGGGCUGCUCCAGUGGGGAAUUUUGCGCAAUGGGGGAAACCCUGACGCAGCAAUACCGCGUGAGUGAAGAAGGCCUUUGGGUCGUAAAGCUCUUUUCUUGGGGAAGAUAGUGACGGUACCCAAGGAAUAAGCACCGGCUAACUCCGUGCCAGCAGCCGCGGCAAUACGGAGGGUGCAAGCGUUGUUCGGACUUACUGGGCGUAAAGGGCACGUAGGCGGCACAGCAAGUUAAGGGUGAAAUCCCGGGGCUCAACUCCGGAACUGCUCUUAAAACUGCUGAGCUAGAGAUAGUCAGAGGCGGGUGGAAUUCCAGGUGUAGAGGUGAAAUUCGUAGAUAUCUGGAGGAACACCGGUGGCGAAGGCGGCCCGCUGGGGCUAUUCUGACGCUAAGGUGCGAAAGCGUGGGGAGCAAACGGGAUUAGAUACCCUAGUAGUC